rnacentral:rRNA from 1 species
GUGGGGAAUCUUCCGCAAUGGACGAAAGUCUGACGGAGCGACGCCGCGUGAGUGAAGAAGGCCUUCGGGUCGUAAAGCUCUGUCAUCAGGGACGAACGGCCGGUGGAGUGGAAAGCCACCGGAUUGACGGUACCUGAGAAGGAAUCCACGGCUAACUACGUGCCAGCAGCCGCGGUAAUACGUCGGUGGCAAGCGUUGUCCGGUAUUAUUGGGCGUAAAGCGCGCGCAGGUGGGAUCUUAAGUCCAUUUUUAAAGUUCGGAGCUCAACGCGGUGAUGGGGUGGAAACUGGGAUUCUUGAGUACCGGAGAGGAAAGCGGAAUUCCCCGUGUAGCGGUGAAAUGCGUAGAUAUGGGGAGGAACACCAGUGGCGAAGGCGGCUUUCUGGACGGUGUCUGACACUGAGGCGCGAAAGCCAGGGGAGCGAACGGGAUUAGAAACCCCGGUAGUCC